AAGCGGUGGAGUAUGUGGUUAAUUCGAUGCAACGCGAAGAACUUACCUGGUCUUGACAUCCCGGAGACCCUUAGGAAACUAGGGGUGCUUCCAUCUGGAGAAUCUGGAGACAGGUGCUGCAUGGCUGUCGUCAGCUCGUGUCGUGAGAUGUUGGGUUAAGUCCCGCAACGAGCGCAACCCUUGCCUUUAGUUGCCAGCAGUUCGGCUGGGCACUCUAAAGGGACUGCCGGUGUUAAACCGGAGGAAGGUGGGGAUGACGUCAAGUCCUCAUGGCCUUUAUGACCAGGGCUACACACGUACUACAAUGGCCGAUACAAAGGGCAGCGACACUGCGAGGUGAAGCCAAUCCCGUAAAAUCGGUCUCAGUCCGGAUUGGAGUCUGCAACUCGACUCCAUGAAGUUGGAAUCGCUAGUAAUCGUGGAUCAGCAUGCCACGGUGAAUACGUUCCCGGGCCUU
rnacentral:rRNA from 1 species